ACGGUGUGGCCGUGAGCUGAACCCUCGCCUCCCGGCCAGCACGGGGGGCUCCCGCGCACCGUUCCCACCCGUGGCGCUGACACCAGUGUCGGCCACCUCCGCGGCUUGUUCGCCAGGACCGACGGACACGCCCCGCAGACGCCGAGCCUCGGGGAGGCGACGCCCGCGAGCCUCAGGGUCCCGGGCCGGCCGGCCUGACUGCGGCGGGGCGGGACUUCCGGGCGCGCCUGCGCACGCCCCGCAGAGCCGCCGCCCUGGGGGCGGGGCCGAGGCGCUUUCGGGUCCCUGUGGGGUGGGGCCCUACGGGCGGCUCCCGGUUGGGAGCGCUGUGUGGGGUUCCGGUCGGGCCGCGGCCCUCCGAGCCGGUCCGCGCGUGGGGAGCAGCCCGGCCUCAGGCACCGGGGCAGAUGGCGGAAGCUCCCCGGGACCGGAGGCCCAGGUCCUUUACCGUGGGGUAUUUCCUUGCGGUUCGUCUCUGGCAGCUGCGUCGUACCCGCGGUGUGGCGUCUGGCGGCUGAGUGCGCCGGCGUCUUCCUCGGCCUCGGAUCCUGACGGCCUGACCCGCGGCCUCUCACAGGUGUAGGCAGCAGCUGCGACUUUUUCCCGGAGUGCAGCACGGUGCCACCCCUGAGGGCGCGGAUUUCAGACAGUUUUUUAAACAUUACAACGUUCUGGCCUGGAGAGAUGGUUCGGAGGUUAAGAGCACCGGCUGCUCUUCCAGAGGUCCUGAGUUCAAUUCCCAGCAACCACAUGGUGGCUCACAACCAUCUAUAAUGAGAUCUGGUGCCCUCUUCUGGCGUUCAGGCACACAUGCAGCAGAACACUUGUAUAUGUAAUAAAUAAAUCUUUUUU